GAACUGAGUUUGUAUCCCAGUUCCUGCUCCUACAGAUGUCUCAUAUGAACCUGUGAUCUAAAGGUAACUCUUAUAGGACUUUCUGAAACACCAUGAAGUGGGUUUUAAGUCCUGGCAUCACUGUGAUGGUUGUGUUUUACCAUGGAACCUCUAGAAAAUGACUCAAUGGAGUCAUUUUCGUUCUAUCAUGUACAAGUUAUAUAGCCGUGAUGUGUGAAGGGACUCGUGGCUGUGGGAUCCAGAAUAUUGUAUGGUGGCGUUUUGGACAAGAGAGAUGUGCUGGAUUGGAUGGGGUUCUGUUGGGGUUCUCAUUAAACCUACAAGUGACUACAAGACAACAAGUUGACAGACAACAGCAGCAACUAUAUUUGCAGUAACUUUCUGUAAAUAUUAACAUAAUGUAGUAACUGAAACAUAAUGUGCAGUGAUGAUACACUGAUUGUUACUAAUAGCAUUUAUUUCUGGAUAGUGAAGGAGUCACCGCGUUAAUCAGAGUAUCUGUGUUUUAUUCUGUAAGGAAGUGAGAUUCAUCCCAUAAUGUAGAGUUCACUUACAGUAUGUAUGCAUGAAUAUUUUCUCGUGUAUGAAUAUCAAUUUAAGCAGCUGCAUAAUUAUGUGUGUGGUUGUUGUGUUAUUUGUGUGUUGGGGUUUGUUUUGGGUUGAUGCAUAAACAAAUUGUUUAAGUUAAAUAUAAAAAGUUUUAUAAAUUAAUGUUGUAAAAGUUAAAAUUUGUUGUGCAGCAGAGUGAUGUGAUGUAUUAUUUAUUUAAUGCUUUUUAUAAAUACUUUAAAU